ACCUGGGUGGCUCAGUCGGUUGGGCGUCUGGCUUCAGCUCAGGUCAUGAUCUCACAAUUCGUGAGUUCAAAUCCCACAUCAGGCU
rnacentral:tRNA from 1 species